AGAACCAUCUGCUAGUUGGAAGGAAGUGAUCUCCAUCUCGACCUGUCAAGCGCUAUACACAGUCACUUGGUCAUUCACCUGAAAUAUUAACCCAAAGAACAACAAUAGAGAGUCGAGUAUUACAGUAGUUGCUGCAUGUUUCGUGGAAGCAUUCACCCUCAUGGCCCUAUUCUUAUUCUGCUGUUUCAGGGGUAGGAGGAAGAAAAUUCACCCCAAAGAUGGACUAAGAGUUGGUAGGCUUCUUCUAAACUUCUUCUUAGAUUUUUGUACAUGGUAUCUGUUGUGGCAAUAACUUAUUUAUUAAAAUUGCUUGUAUUUGUAUCUCCAAGUUACAUAGACUUCCUUACCUUUCAGGUUCUCCAGUGAUCCACAAUUCCUUGUCCAGUGUCAACAGUUUUAGCGCCGAAUCUGAAGAUUCACUAGCUGUAGAUUUAGAAGC
rnacentral:lncRNA from 1 species